UACGUAGGGUGCGAGCGUUGUCCGGAAUUAUUGGGCGUAAAGAGCUCGUAGGUGGCGGGUCACGUCGGGUGUGAAAGCCUGGAGCUUAACUCCGGGUCUGCAUUCGAUACGGGUCUGCUGGGGUCUGGCAGGGGAGACUGGAAUUCCUGGUGUAGCGGUGAAAUGCGCAGAUAUCAGGAGGAACACCGGUGGCGAAGGCGGGUCUCUGGGUAGUAACUGACGCUGAGGAACGAAAGCGUGGGUAGCGAACAGG
rnacentral:rRNA from 1 species